CAGAAGUUAAGGAAAAGUAAAUGAAGUGAAUGAGCUUUGAAACUCACCCCUGCACAGCGAACUUGCUCCCUGCCUUUCUGGAGAUCCGUGUGUAAACACAGGACUGUGUAAUUAACCUGAUGUCAACACCAGCUGUACAAAGGCAUCAGAGGGGGACCAGGUGGCCCAGGAGAGAGAUACCCGGGCAGACCUUGGGAGAGAAGGAGCCCUUUCCUCCGGCUUCUCGUUCCAAUUCCUUCAAGGGAGGAAUAUCCUACCAAAAGUGGGCAGGCGGCUUCCAGGAGCUGGCUGUGGAAGGUCCAGACUCCAGCCUGGAGCUGGAUAGGGGGUGGUCUAAAACCAUGUGGACCACCUGGAAGGCACAGAGGCUUUGACAAGCAGUGCAGCAACAAGACAGAAACUACCAUUCGCGGGACAAAUUCAGGUCAGUCUUUUGGG